AAACAAUUAACAUAGCGUUUGAUUUGAUGCUCUGAGUAUGCUAGUGUUCCCCAGAGAUGAUAGAAAUAGUAAUGGAGAGAAGGCAUUCCGUUACAGUUUUACUGACUUCAGGAUGCUGUUACUGGCCUGCUAAGUGCUGUGAAGAUACUUUGUGGAAAAAGUGUUUUUUAUGUGAAUUUCUUUGAACACUAGGUCUAAGGAUACUUAAAAGGUGGAAAUUAGCUGCUAGGAAUGAAAGGGCUUUUACUUUUUGUCUGAAUAUAUGCUGAAAGACUAUCAUUAUCAUUAUUCUUAUUUCUUAUUCCUCAAUGAAAUAUUUUGAUGAGAGCUCAGAAUAUUCUCUCAUAAAGGCUAGAGGUCAUUUCCUAUGCCCUUCCAUUUCUGAGAAAACAGAUGAGGCAUAAAGAAAUCACAGGGAGGAAGCAAUGUUGAGAUAAAGCGUAUCAGUGUAUCCAGAAGCAGAGGUCACUUACUUCUCAUGUAGAUUUUGGAGUCACUCUAUUGUCUUAUCCAACUUUGGUUUAUGUUUUUCAAACAACAAAAACGGUCACUCCAAUUUUCUAAACAUGGCUUAUUGUCCACCCAAGUCUUCAUUUUAGGAAACUAUGGUUUGUAGAAAAUGUUCAUGUUCACCUCUCUGUUUCAUAAUUUUUUUGAAAUUCCUUGCCUUAUGAUAGGUUUCUGGCCACUGAGAUGAAGUUGGAAAUAAAGGAUGCCACUACCAAGUUGAUUUCUUCAGUCUCCUCUCUUUUUUCCUUCUCGUUCAGUCUUGCAGCUUGGAGCCUGCGAGUGCAAACUGUGAGCUUCACAGUGAGGAUUCUUCCCUCCCUCCCUAUCUUCGAUAUGGAUGAAAACACACACUGAUGGAGAUGGGCUGAACCCCUUGAGGUAAUCUGAUGCACUCUUUCUACCACUUCUGCACAUCUUAAAUGGGUUUUAAACAGCCUAAAAUGUCUACAAUGUGUUCAUUUCCUGUGGUGGAUUUACAGUGUGUGACAGGAAAUCCAUUUCUUUUCCUGUAGAUGCUAAAUUCAUUACCUUGACACAGAAUUCAGACUCACUCUUUGCACUUGCUGCCAUAGCAACGAAUAUCAGGCAUUUUUUUUUUCCUUUUUAUUUUUCCUUCCACUGGAAGCAGGGUAGUCAAAUGUAGCAGUAAGAUCUAUACUACAAUUAAAAAAAAUGUUUUUAAAGGCCCCAACACUAUUAUACCAAGAGUGUCUUCAUAUCAUCACCACUGUAAUUACAAAUUUCAUAAAUCUAUAAUCACAUUAUAGACCAAGGCAUUCUAAACUAGCAGAGUAUGUUGUCCCUUAAGAUAUUUUUAUGAGCAAAUUUCUUUUAUCGACUUCUCAAAUUUAUUCACAACAAUG
rnacentral:lncRNA from 1 species